UACGUAGGGUGCGAGCGUUGUCCGGAAUUAUUGGGCGUAAAGAGCUCGUAGGCGGUGUGUCGCGUCGGCCGUGAAAACCUGGGGCUCAACUCUGGGCGUGCGGUCGAUACGGGCAUCACUAGAGUUCGGCAGGGGAGACUGGAAUUCCUGGUGUAGCGGUGAAAUGCGCAGAUAUCAGGAGGAACACCGGUGGCGAAGGCGGGUCUCUGGGCCGAUACUGACGCUGAGGAGCGAAAGCAUGGGUAGCGAACAGG
rnacentral:rRNA from 1 species